rnacentral:rRNA from 1 species
UAGGGUAUCUUCCACAAUGGACGCAAGUCUGAUGGAGCAACGCCGCGUGAGUGAAGAAGGGUUUCGGCUCGUAAAGCUCUGUUGUUAAAGAAGAACGUGGGUAAGAGUAACUGUUUACCCAGUGACGGUAUUUAACCAGAAAGCCACGGCUAACUACGUGCCAC